CAGCAGCCACGGUAAAACGAAGGGUGCAAGCGUUAAUCGGAAUUACUGGGCGUAAAGCGUGCGUAGGCGGUUUGUUAAGUCUGCUGUGAAAUCCCAGGGCUCAACCUGGGAAUGGCAGUGGAUACUGGCAAGCUAGAGUGUGUCAGAGGAUGGUGGAAUUCCCGGUGUAGCGGUGAAAUGCGUAGAGAUCGGGAGGAACAUCAGUGGCGAAGGCGGCCAUCUGGGACAACACUGACGCUGAGGCACGAAAGCGUGGGGAGCAAACAGGAUUAGAUACCCCGGUAGUCCCUGUCUCUUAUAC
rnacentral:rRNA from 1 species